AUGCUCAUUUUGGCAGCAUAUAUACUAAAAUUGGAACGAUACAGAGAAAAUUAGGAUGGGCCCUGCACAAGGAAGACACAAAUUUGUGAAACGUUCCAUGUUUUU